rnacentral:rRNA from 1 species
ACGAACGCUGGCGGCGUGCUUAACACAUGCAAGUCGAGCGGUAAGGCCCUUCGGGGUACACGAGCGGCGAACGGGUGAGUAACACGUGGGUGACCUGCCUCGCACUUCGGGAUAAGCCUGGGAAACUAGGUCUAAUACCGGAUAUGACCGUUGACCGCAUGGUUGGUGGUGGAAAGAUUUAUCGGUGCGAGAUGGGCCCGCGGCCUAUCAGCUUGUUGGUGGGGUAACGGCCUACCAAGGCGACGACGGGUAGCCG